GGGAAUUGCUGCAAGGCGCUUCCCAGCGAGUCCGAGCCAGCGAGCCAUCCCGGCAGCGGCUUCCGGUGUCUGCAUCGCCGCGUCCUCGCCCGCCGUCCCAGCCUUUCACGUCCGGUCUGACCUCGAGGUGGGGCCCACGAAGAAUCCCGUGGCCGUUUCCUAACCGAUGGGGUUAAGCGGAAAACGCGCCGGAAAAGGGCAGCCGGCCGUGUUCGCCGUUGUGUCGGUCACAGCGACGUUCGGCGGUUUGUAAGCGUGUGGACGGAGCUGUCGCCAGGAGCGGCGGACAAGCCGAGGGCCGCGCCCGCCGACUGACCCGCGCGAUCUCCUCCCGGAAGAGCCGACUCUAGCCGGUCGUCGUGAGACACUUUGGUGUUUUAAUGAGGAAUUUUGCCGAAGGAGACCAACGGGCUCGUAAGGGCGUCCAGCAGAUGACGCAGCUGAAGUUGUAUGGGAAGACACUGGGAGGAGGCUUUCCUGGCAGAGGAAACCGGCUCCUGUUACUGUGCAGCGUCUCCAGAAAAGGCCACUCAAAAUGAAACCCUGAGAAUCGAUUUUCUUGCUACUAGGCAAGGCGGUCGCCAGGCCAGUGUGCCACGGCCUUUCUGGGUGCUCGAGGGCACCGGACUCCCACCCAGCUGUCUCCAAGAAAAGCUCGGAAGACCCAGCGUGGGGGAAUGAAGAUUCCUUGUGUGAAUCCAGGUCGGCAGGGCCCCGGAUUAUAGUUCAGGCCUUGGCAGCAUCUUACUUCAUUCCGCGCGGGAUGCAGCCAGUACAGCUGCUCUGCCAGGGAUGGUUUUAACAGCGCUGCAUGAUCGGCCCCUUCCUGCCUGUCUGGAGUAUCCCUGCCCUGAAUCCUGUGUUUCACACACUCAGGAUUGCUUGCUAUUUCUAAUUCUGCGCCUCCCUGCCUUGGUCCUUAUUGUUGCUUCUCUCUGUGAUAAUGCUUUCCUUCACCUCCACUUGGACAGACCGGCUUUAUCACUCAGGACCCACUUCAUUUGCUGAAAAUCCUUCCCCUAAUUUCACAAGCAGGACAUCUUCCUUGUGUCUAAGGCACUUUCACUGGAGUUAUAUGUGUUCCAUGGCAACUGAAAACAGCCAGGAACAUGGCUGUACAAGAAAAUAAUAAAAUGUUUAUUCAACUUGCUGCAGCAAAGGAAUGCACCAGAGGACACAUUAGAUAACUGAGAUUCACACUGGCAGUGAGAACAAUGAUGAACGAAAUGCUUGAAACAUCCGCGUGAAGACACUGGCAAGCCCAGCAUGGUGAUCAGGUAACAGAAAGGACAGAGAGAGGCCCAGGAAGAAACACCUGGAGGAAACAUGACUGCUUGUAGUUUCCAGUCACCUGAGCAGGCACAGGGGCUCCACCUCCCUGUGCUGUCGGGAAGACUCGGGAACGGAGGUGACGGACUUUUCACCGGGAAACCAAUUCAGGGCAAGUGGGAGAAAGCUCACCCUGUGUGAGGACCUGUCAUGGGUCCCCACGUAGAGGGAAGGCAGGGACUUGGGGCUUCGUGUGGAGGGCAACAUGGGUUCCGCUGGGGCGUCUAGGAACAAGCCGACUCGGGAGCUGUGUUCUAGGAGCGUAAAUUCGGGGCCUGGCUCGGGGUCUCGGCAGAGCCAUCGUCACUGGGCGGCCCCCCACUUGUCUUUGUACUCCUGGUAGGCGCUCAGUAUCUCCGUGAUGACAGCGGGGUCCUCCAGUGUGGUGGUGUCCCCCAGGUCCUGAGCUCUGCCUGUGACGAUCUUCCUCAGGAGCCUCCGCAUGACUUUUCCAGACCGCGUUUUUGGAAGACGUUUCACUACCUGGCAGGGAAGGCGCAGCAUUAGACUUUGGGUGGUGCCCAGACUCCCAGCCUAUAUCCGAUGGCGUUGAGAUGAGAAGGGUACUGCUCAAGGGAGGACGCCCCUCUCCGGGGACCUGACAGGAAUGGCUGACGUGCAGCCCACCCCAGAGAAGAGCGGGGCCGUGGCCUCUGGUUUUAUCCUCCAUCUGGACCUAAAGCUGAAAUCAGCCAUGGUCAGGGGUUUAGUUGAGCCUCCACCAGGAGGCUCUCCCCUACCCAGGUGGACCUCUCUGCCGACAUGCGUUUCUCGUGCCCACUACACUGGGGGGCUCCCAGGUGGCAGCAGAGCCAGGCAUUCUCUGGGCACCUUGUCUCCUCCCCCAGCCGGGGCUGUAGUUGGCUUUUUCUAACAUAAGAAGCAAGGGGUACUUAAGAGGAAAAUGUCUUGCUUAGUGUUUGAAACUUAGCCUUUGACAUUUUCCAACUACAGGCAUCCAACGUCAAGGCGAUACGUUAAGGGCUGCGUUUGGGGCCUGUAACAGUGGCCUGUCUUGCAAGAGUCCAGUUAACUUACGGGGAGUUCAGAUGAAGCUCUGGUCACCAGGCCGACAGUCUGACCUUGUAUGGCACCGAGUAAAGCUGGGCCCUCCUGCCACCGAGGCCCAGCUCCCAGCCAAGGAAGGAGUGAAAAGCCAGCAGGGCUGAGAAGGUGGCCCAGUUCCUCCUUGAAACUGACCCCAGCACAGGCUCCCAGGCAGGGUCUGGCGGUGUCUCCUCACCGUCCCGGGGACCUCUGGUCCCACUCCAGGCCUCUGUUUACAAUCCACGAUGCUCCACAGCCCAGCCCAGUCCCUGCGCAGGUGGCUGUGUCUCCCUCCGUCUGAGGACGCAGCAGCCCACCGCCCUUGCCCACCUCCUGUCACCGUCCCCCGUCAAUGGUGGGAAGCGAGGAGGAGCAUUGCUGUGGCCCCUGAGGCGCGUCCACUCACCAGGACCUGGUCGGGCACCGCGUACUUGGCGAUUUUGGAGGCCACCACCGACCGGAGCUCCUUCACCACCAUGUCUGCGUCACCCGCGUCAUCUUUCAACACGAUGAAGGCAAACGCAGCUGGAAGGAGACCAGAGGUUCAGGAACAUCAGACCACGACCCACCUCCCGGGGCAGCAUGUUUCACACAAAUGGCCAUAAAUCCAAAGGGGCUUUAAAUCAUAGGCCGGUGACCCUGUGGCAGCUGGUCUCUUUAGCUGCAGCCCAGGGCAUUUCCAUUUUCAUUCAAGGUGGAAGUGACUCCAUUGCCUCCUCUGAGCGCCCCGGGUGGCGGGCACGUGUGGAGAGACCCUGGAGCCGUGACUCACCUCUGUCCGCACACCCGUGACACAGCCGUGACGUGGGCUGUAGAAGACUCACUCUCCACCCCGUGCAACAGGUGUGGAAACACCGCCCAGGCAGUAGUCUCUGGGCACGUGUCCAGCCUGUGGGCACCAGCCACGUGGCUAUUUAAAGGAGCCCUGGCCCCAGGGCCAGGAGGGUCCUCGGGGGACACACACCUUCUCCCUUGAUGUCGUGGGGGUAGCCGAUGACGGCGGUCUCGGGCACUGCCGGGUGGUCAGCCUGGGCACGACAGAGAACGCAGAGGUGAGGCAGCGACUCAGCCAGUGACGACCACCCCAGACCCCAGGCAGUGGCAGCCGGUGGUGGUGCAGGGCACGGAGCCCGGCUGGGCUCACCAUGGCAUCCUCGAUCUCCGCCGUCCCCAGCCGGUGGCCGCUGAUGUUGAUGACAUCGUCCAUCCGCCCCGUGAUCUGGUAGUAGCCGUCCUCAGUUCGGUAAGCCCCAUCUCCUGUGAAGUAGUAGCCUGCACCACCGUGGGGGAUUCAGCACCAGCUCCGAACUGGGACCCAGCGGGGCUCCCGUCCUUCCAUGAGGGACACCCCCUGGACAGGAGGAAGCGCCGAAGCCCCCCUGCCGACGCACCCCCCCCCCAUGGAGACACCUCUCCGGUGCUGCUAAGCUGGUGCCAGUAAAGGGCAGAGGGGCUGCCAGACAGCAGGAGGCUGCGAACGUCUGGAAGCAGGAGAUACGAGGAGCCCGCUCGAGCUUCCCCAAAAGUGAGUGUCGCUGGCAUGCUUGCGACUGCAGAGCAUCGGUUCGCAGGGGCACACGUGUACGUGAACUCCCACCCAACGACAUGACACAAGCCGGGAAGACAACGACACGGAGGCCGGAGGGAGGCCUGGAGCCACCGCGAUUGUCGCCAAGGUGGCGUCCUGCUCUUCUCCUGGGAGCCCGUGGCCUGAGCCCCUGGGAGAACCCCAAGCUGGACCGCUCCUAGCUCAGGGGUAAGGAAAGGAGGGAGCAUUCACGCAACCCCCAGCCCCUCGGAAACAGUUCUGAGACCGAGUCCAGCGGCGGCAGGAAAGGCUCACCCGGGUAGGCCUCGAAGUAGGCGUCCAUGAAUCGCUGGUGAUCUCCGAAGAUGGUCCGGGCCAUGCCUGGCCAGGCCUGGGACAGGCACAGAGCCCCGGACACAUCUCCACCCUCCAGGACAUUUCCCUGCAGACCCGGGAGAUGGGGAGACAGAUGGAGUGACCAUCUCGCGUUCUCCGAACUGCCGGGCCUGACGCAGGAACAGGACAAGUGCCCCAGAGGGAGCUGCUCAGAGCUUUCUCCUCUGAGAGGAGACCCUGCGGUGGGUGCCGC